UACGUAGGGAGCAAGCGUUGUCCGGAUUUACUGGGUGUAAAGGGUGCGUAGGCGGCUUUGCAAGUCAGGCGUGAAAACCAUGGGCUUAACCCAUUGGACUGCGUUUGAAACUGUGAGGCUUGAGUGAAGUAGAGGUAGGCGGAAUUCCCGGUGUAGCGGUGAAAUGCGUAGAGAUCGGGAGGAACACCAGUGGCGAAGGCGGCUUACUGGGCUUUAACUGACGCUGAGGCACGAAAGCAUGGGUAGCAAACAGG
rnacentral:rRNA from 1 species